rnacentral:pre_miRNA from 1 species
UAUAAUGUUUGAUUAUUCGUCUUAUUUAAAAUAUCUCUAUUAAUAUUUUUAUUGUUAUUAGAUUAUAAAAUAUGAAUGGUAAUUUCUACGUGACUAUUUUUUGAGCUUUUUAAUAAAAUUUUUAAAUAAGAGGGAUGAUCAAACGCUGGACACGUAAACAAAUGG